CAGACAUCGAGAGACAAGCAAACACUUACCCAAGUGCAGAGUACUCACUGCUGCAUUGCAGAGUUUACUGGCAUAAAAUGAUGGGGCAGGAUAGAUUUUCAUCUGGUAUUAAGUGACUUCAAAAUAAACCCAAGAUAAAGUCAGCAACAGAAUGAGCGAAUGGAGCAUUGAGGAGCAAAUAUGGGGCCACAGUGAGGUUUUAAGCGCCUUGGAGCUACCAGAGAUCGAGUUGGGAUCUGCCAUGGGGAUUUCACAGUGAGCUCUGAGAAACACCAAGUGUAGACACUGUUGGGAAAUUAACCAAAUUACCAAGCUCGCACAAUUUAUAAAAAGUUAGUGUUUUAUGUCCUUUCUGGAAAAAAAAAUCCUUUCAAAGCAAGCAGAUCCUUUUGGAGCAUGAGGAAAAAAAAUGCAGCACUAGCUAAUCCCAUGAAGACUUCCCUUUGGCAAUGCCUUCCUGUAAGUAAAAUAGUCCCCUAAAAGCUGUCCAGAAGGAUAAUGUUCUCAGAUGGCCACAGAGAUAAUAUGAAAAAAUGCUUUUUGGAAACAUUUGCCAUCAAAACCACUCAGAGGAUCUCCUUGCUGCUUUGGUACCUGGACAUUUCCUGUGUGGAAGGAAGGCAAAAUCUGUUUUUGUCCAUGCCAGCCCCAGACACCCUGGGCCUAGGCCCACAGCUAAACCUGGGCCCAUUUUUAUUAUGGUGUAAAAAGUCCCCAGCU